AUGUAACGCAAACGUCAUUUAAUUAAGGUAAAAAAGACGCUAAUUAUUACACUAAAUUAGCUUUUAAGAUGUAUGUACUGGUGAGCGCAAUACCUGUGAUACCGACCACUAAAAAUUCAAGUUUUUGUAUUAAAAAAUACCACUUUAAUUAAAUAAAAUAGUGGAGCUUUUGGAAGACUGCAAAGUGUGUCAUUGACAUUAAACUCUUGGAUCACUUGGCUCAACAAAUUGAUAUACCAGGUAUCAAAAUAGGUCACCAUCAAAAUAGAAGUUUCCAGCCCAUAACACAUUUUGGCAAGCCAAUCAAAUGAUGGUGUUUCAGAAGAUUUACCCAGUACGUCGGAACAUUCACCAGCUAGGACAACCCAAGCCAAUUCUGAAAUAAUUGAGGUUAUCCCGAGGGUUACCCAAACACCUAAGCGUAAAAAAAUAAUUCAGAAAAGUGAUCCUGCUACUACAGCUGUAGAAAAAUUAGAAAAUAUAUGCAAAACUAGUGCAGACGCAUUACAGGAGGAUGAAUUUGAAAUUUAUGGAAUAUACAUAGCCUCGCAGCUACGAUCGAUGGACCUAGAAAGAGCUAUUGAUGUUCAAAAUCAGAUUAACAACAUUUUAUCAAAGUCAAGAAUAGAAGACAUCAAAUGCAAAAAGAGUCUCCACAACACUUUUUCAAUUCCUUAUCCGGAAGAGAGUUUAGUAGAUAUAAAUUCACCACCACCAAGUAACCAGACUGAAGUUGAGGUAUAUUCAGAAGAGGAUAGUGAUAUAACGUUUAUUGAAAAACCUAGGCAUUCUAGUGACAUUUUGUCACAAGCUGUGAUUUCUAUUUUCCGAUAUACUGAUUUGUAAAAUGUGUCAAUAAAGUUAUGAAAUGGA
rnacentral:lncRNA from 1 species